rnacentral:tRNA from 1 species
GUGGGGGUAGCUUAGUCAAUAAAGUGUUUGACUUGCAAGCAUGAGGACCUGAGUUCAAUCCUUAGUACUCACA